AUGGUUAUAUUGGGAAAAGGUGAAACUUUGCUUUCCUUUGGAAGUUUAGUUACAGCAGGAGCGUGCAUUCUAUAUAUUGAAAAGUUUAAAUACCCACCACUACAAUAUCUUCAUAAGAAUCUUUUUUCUACCGUUAGCACAAAGAAGAUGCUUCUGGCCUACUACAUGAACUCGUUCUUGCCGACUUUAUCCUCUGUUUAUUUGCUCCGCGAGGUUCUUUGUUGGUUCGUGGGACUUCUGUCGUUAACCAACAAGGCGUUGUUAUCAUUACUUCUUCUCCCUUCGCUGGCUCGUCAUCUGCUUGCUAUCAAGCAGGAUUGA
rnacentral:rRNA from 1 species